rnacentral:tRNA from 1 species
CCAUGGCGCAACGGUUAGCGCGAUCGACUCAUAAUCGACAGGUUGCAGGUUCGAAUCCUGCUGGGGCC